rnacentral:rRNA from 1 species
UAAGGCUAAAUAUAUCCACAGACCCGAUAGCGAACAAGUACCGUGAGGGAAAGUUGAAAAGCACUCUGGAGAGAGAGUCAAAAGACCGUGAAACCGCUCAGAGUAUAAGCCCAUGGCAGCUUGGAAGGCAUAUCGCUAGCGGGGCAUCAGUCUCCCUUCACGGGGAGCUGGUGUGCCUUGCUUCUGUUGUGGCUCGUCACGGUAGGGGGGUCAAGUCCACAUCCCGCCAACGUGUGGGGAGUUCUCGGGUGCGUUGAGUCAGUCGGUUUUGGUUUGGCUCUUCGUGCUUGGUUCUCUUUCAACACGGACGUUCAGACUCAGAGGCAAGACGCGAUAAACAGCCCACCACGGCUCGUUGUGAGGUCACCCACAGACUCAGCUUUGGAUUGUGGUCCUUGACGCCGAGCAAGCACAAUGCGUGUCGCAGAUGUUCCUGACCGGGGGGCCCACCCCCCGGAUGGUGGAACGACACGCGCUCAUGCGAGUCAGGACCGGGCUAUGAAAGAGUUCUGGUACGAUCCUCUUGCGACGAGCCGGCUUCUGGCCAAAUUCCGAUGUUCAGAUCUCCCGCAUGUGCCGCGGGAGAUCGCCUUGACGGUUUGGAGCUUACAGUAGUCCUCUCAGUCGGGCGUCGGAAAGAGUGGUGUAAAGUCCAAGCCCAUCGGUCACGUCUCGAAACACGGGCCAAGGA